rnacentral:rRNA from 1 species
CUACGGGUGGCUCCAGUCGGGAAAAUUUUACAAUGCGCGAGAGCGUGAUAAAGCAAGCCUGAGUGCGUUUCCGUAUUUGGAAACGCUUUUGCCAGAUGCAAAAAGUCUGGCGAAUAAGGACCGGGCAAGACUGGUGCCAGCCGCCGCGGUAAUACCAGCGGUCCAAGUCGCAUCCACGUUUAUUGGGUCUAAAACAUCCGUAGCUUGCUUAGUAAGUCUCUUGUGAAAUCCGGCCUCUUAAGGGUCGGGCGUGCAAGAGAUACUGCUUUGCUUGAGACCGGGAGGCGUGAAGAGUACAGUUCGGGUAGCGGUUAAAUGCGUUGAUCCUUACUGGACUAACAAUCGCGAAGGCACUUCACGAGAACGGUUCUGACAGUCAGGGAUGAAGGCUAGGGUCGCAAAACGGAUUAGAUACCCCUGUAGUC